AUUGAACGCUGGCGGCAGGCCUAACACAUGCAAGUCGAACGAGUGGCGGACUGGUGAGUAAUGUCUGGGAAACUGCCUGAUGGAGGGGGAUAACUACUGGAAACGGUAGCUAAUACCGCAUACCAUCAGAUAAGCCCAGAUGGGAUUAGAUUGUUGGUGGGGUAACGGCUCACCAAGGCGACGACCCCUAGCUGGUCUGAGAGGAUGACCAGCACAACGGGAAAGGAGACACGGUCCAGACUCCUACGGGAGGCAGCAGUGGGGUAUAUUGCACAAUGGGCGAAAGCCUGAUGCAGCCAUGCCGCGUGUAUGAAGAAGGCCGUCGGGUGGUAAAGUACUUUCAGCGGGGAGGCGUUACCCGCAGAAGAAGCACCGGCUAACUCCGUGCCAGCCGCCGCGGUAAUUC
rnacentral:rRNA from 1 species